UGCAUACUCCCUCCGUCCGAAAAUACUUGUCAUCAAAAUGAACAAAAAGGAAUGUAUCUAAAACUAAAAUACAUCUAGAUACAUCCCCUUUUAUUUAUUUUGAUGACAAGUAUUUUCGAACGGAGGGAGUAUUAU
rnacentral:pre_miRNA from 1 species